rnacentral:rRNA from 1 species
GUGCCAGCAGCCGCGGUAAUACGUAGGUGGCAAGCGUUGUCCGGAAUUAUUGGGCGUAAAGGGCGCGCAGGCGGUUUCUUAAGUCUGAUGUGAAAGCCCCCGGCUCAACCGGGGAGGGUCAUUGGAAACUGGGGGACUUGAGUGCAGAAGAGGAAAGUGGAAUUCCACGUGUAGCGGUGAAAUGCGUAGAGAUGUGGAGGAACACCAGUGGCGAAGGCGACUUUCUGGUCUGUAACUGACGCUGAGGAGCGAAAGCGUGGGGAGCAAACAGGAUUAGAUACCCUGGUAGUCC